GUUUUCAUCUGGCAGGGGAGACACCAUGAUCACGAAGGUGGUUUUCCCAGGGUGAGGCUCCUCCAUUGCACUCUGUGUGUGUUGACCUCCACAAUUUCCCCAAAUACAGGAAGCUCAACUGCAUAAUUUGUGGUUUUGAACAGCCUGUCUUCAGACUCUUUUGCU